rnacentral:rRNA from 1 species
AUUGAACGCUGGCGGCAGGCCUAACACAUGCAAGUCGAGCGAGCGGCGGACGGGUGAGUAAUGUAUGGGGACUGCCCGAUAGAGGGGGGUAACUACUGGAAACGGUAGCUAAUACCGCAUACUAUCGGAUAACCCAUAUGUGAUUAGUUGGUAGGUUAGGUAAUGGCUCACCGGGUCGACGAACCCUAGCUGGUUUGAGAGGAUGAUAAGCCACACUGGAACUGAGACACGGCCCAGACUCUUACGGAGGCAGCAGUGGGGAAGAGUGGACAAGGGGCGCAAGCCUGAUGCAGCACGGCCGCUUGUAUGAAGAAGGCCCUAGGGUUUUAAAGUACUUUCAGUCGGGAGGCGUUACCGACAGAAGAAGCACCGGCUAACUCCGUGCCAGCCGCCGCGGUAAUUC